rnacentral:ncRNA from 1 species
UGGUCGUCCUCAUCGGCCGCCAUUUAACGCUCAGCUCAAAACUGGCACAGACUAGGGGAAUCCGACUGUCUAAUUAAAACAAAGCAUUGCGAUGGCCCUCGCGGGUGUUGACGCGAUGUGAUUUCUGCCCAGUGCUCUGAAUGUCAACGUGAAGAAAUUCAAGCAAGCGCGGGUAAACGGCGGGAGUAAUGACUCUCGUAAGAUUCUCUCCAUCUUUCGAUAAAGUCAUAGUAGGACGAUGACGUGUAAUACAUAACCUCUCUCGUCCAAAUCACACACCUAGCUCCACGUGGUGC